rnacentral:rRNA from 1 species
UUUCGCAAUGCCCGAAAGGGUGACGAAGCGACGCCGCGUAAGUGAGGAAGGCCUUCGGGUUGUAAAGCUCUGUCAGGAGUUAAGAAAUAUAAGUGUGUUAAUACCACAUUUAUUUGACGAAGGCUCCAAAGGAAGCCACGGCUAACUCUGUGCCAGCAGCCGCGGUAAUACAGAGGUGGCAAGCGUUGUUCGGAAUUAUUGGGCGUAAAGAGCACGUAGGUGGGUUUGUAAGUCAGAUGUGAAAGCCUUCUGUUCAACGGAAGAAUUGCAUCUGAAACUGCGAGUCUUGAGUGUAGGAGGGGAGAAUGGAACUUCUGGUGGAGCGGUGAAAUGCGUAGAUAUCAGAAGGAACGCCGGCGGCGAAAGCGAUUCUCUGGCCUAUUACUGACACUCGGUGUGCGAAAGCUAGGGGAGCAAACGGGAUUAGAUACCCCGGUAGUCCUAGCUGUAAACGAUGGGCACUAAGUAGAGGGGUUUUA